CGCUGAAAGCAUCUAAGCGGGAAGCCUACCUCAAGAUAAGAUUUCCCUAGGACUUUAUGUCCUCUAAAGAGCCGUUCGAGACUAGGACGUUGAUAGGUUGGAUGUGGAAGCAUAGUGAUAUGUGAAGCUGACCAAUACUAAUUGCUCGUGAGGCUUGACUAU
rnacentral:rRNA from 1 species